GAUGAACGCUGGCGGCGUGCCUAAUACAUGCAAGUCGAGCGAACAGACUCGGAGCUUGCUCCUCUGACGUUAGCUGCGGACGGGUGAAUCACACGUGGAUAACCUACCUAUAAGACUGGGAUACCUUCGAGACACCGGAGCUAAUACCGUAUCAUAUAUUGAACCGCAUGGUUCAAUAGUGACUGACGGUUUUGCUGUCACUUAUAGAUGGAUCCGCGCCGCAUUAGCUAGUUGGUCAGGUAACGGCUUACCAAGGCAACGAUGCGUAGCCGACCUGAGAGGGUGAUCGGCCACACUGGAACUGAGACACGGUCCAGACUCCUACGGGAGGCAGCAGUAGGGAAUCUUCGGCAAUGGGCGAAAGCCUGACGGAGCAACGCCGCGUGAGUGAUGAAGGUAUUCGGAACGUAAAACUCUGUUAUUAGGGAAGAACAAAUGUGUAAGGAAAUAAGAACGUAGUGACGGUACCUAAUAAGAAAGCCACGGCUAACUACGUG
rnacentral:rRNA from 1 species